rnacentral:lncRNA from 1 species
CAGUACCAGAGAUGUCUCCAAGAGCACCAGCAACCCCAGCUAUCUGGAUCUGAAGUGGAUAUGCUCAGAGACAUCCUGGCCCACCCCAAAGAAGAUGCUGCUGCACUCAGAAGACGCCAGAGCUAGCCACCACCCACACUGCAAGUCUGGAAGCUCUGCAAGGACCCAGCAAGGCAGCCUGCUCAGCGAAGGCUUUGUCUCCUGUGGCAGGAAGAGCAACAUUAAGAACAAGAACCCCGGGCUGGACUACCCCUGAGAUUUAAUGACCAGAGCUGAGACCCCCAAGACCACAAUGACUAUGGAGGGCUGUCAUUACCCUGCCUGACCCUCUAAUGCCUCUCAGUUCAAGGAGGCCACUGAGUGAAACUGAAGGCUGGUUUUCCUUGGAAGCCAGCGGCCCAUCCACCUGCUCCACUUCCCUGCCUCUUGCAGCCUCCGCUCAAACACUGUCGUGGCUUGGCAGCACUACAAGGCAGAGUGAAAACAGAUACUUCUACCCACAUUCCUAUCUCCUCUCAUUUACGCAGAUUAAAUGCUUUCUUUCCUUGUUUUACACUGCUAGGAUUUUCAUCACCCUGUUUUUUCUUUCUCUACAUCAGCUACAAGAAAAAAAAAAGGAGUUACUGAGCAACUAAGAAGUCACAACUGUUUUCAGUUUUAUUAAUGAGUUGUUAUACUUAUUUUAUAGAUAGAGAAUUACCAUUAUAACAUUGCUCCAUUGCCCACUCAUCCAUUCACGCAUCUGUCCAUCCGUCCAUCCACCCAUUUGUCCACUCCCCAAAUGGUCAUCAAUUGUCUACUGUGAGCCAAGCAAAGUGCUCCUUACUUUGGACUCUGAAUCCAGUGCUCUUUCUACUUCACCAUAGACACAUGCCCCUUGAGUAUAAGGGAGCUUGAUUCAUUCAACAAAUAUCUGUUGUCCAUCUCCAAUGUACUGGCAUAUUCUAAAUGCAUCCAACAAAAACCAAAAUGAAAAAAAAGAAAAACCCAUUCCUUCAAGGGGAUUGCAUUCGGACUGGGGGAGACAGAUAAAAUAAAAAUAAUGAAGUCAAAUAUAUAUGUUAGUGACAUGUGCCAUGAAGAAUAAUGCCCAAUAGUAUUUCAGGGGCUGCCAAGCUGCUCUCCUGUUUCCUCUUCCUUGGGGCUGAUUGCAUCCCAUGAUGUGCCCAGGUUUUGAGAUGCUCCUCGUGAAUGAAAAUAGGACUGUCUGGUUCCUCCAUCCAUAGCAAGGGAGCCUAGACAGAAAUAACUUCUGUGCAUUUCUCCAGCUACAUUUAGCUGAAAAUAUGUCUACGUGAGGUUAACUGUAUUUACCCAAUGCCAGAUACCUGAAAGAGUGUGAAAAAUUAAGGGAAAACUAGAAAAUACAGAAAUAUAUCAAGAAGAAAAAAAAUUUAAAAAUGACCCAAAAUCCCACCAACCAGAGACAGCUAUUAAUGAUUGUGGUAUAUUUAUUGUAAGUCUCUUUAUUUCUGUCUUCAUGCAAACACAUUUUUAAAGAAUGGACACUGGUAUUAUAUUGUUUAUACAACUCUAAAUGCUGCUUUUUCACUUAUUACAAUUAGGACUUUUUUCAUGUUAAUAAAUACUUCCUGAAAACAUAAA